GACGAACGUUGGCGGCGUGCUUAAUACAUGCAAGUCAACUGAAGCAGAGGUAGUAAUAUCUCUGUGGAGGUGGCGCACGGGUGAGUAACACGUAGGUAAUCUGCCUUCAGGUCUGACAUAACCCCGAGAAAUCGGGGCUAAUAGCAGAUGAUGCAGCGGCUUGACAUCAAGACAGUUGUUAAAGCUUCGGCGCCUGAAGAUGAGCCUGCGCUGAUUAGCUAGUUGGCGGAGUAACAGCCCACCAAGGCUACGAUCAGUAGCUGGUCUGAGAGGACGACCAGCCACACUGGGGACUGAGACACGGCCCAGACUCCUACGGGAGGCAGCAGUGGGGAAUAUUGGACAAUGGCGCAAGCCUGAUCCAGCGAUGCCGCGUGUGUGAAGAAGGCCUGCGGGUUGUAAAGCACUUUC
rnacentral:rRNA from 1 species